GACGGAAGGUGCAAGCGUUGCUCGGAAUCACUGGGCGUAAAGGGCUCGUAGGCGGCUUGUCACGUCGGGUGUGAAAGCCCGGGGCUUAACCCCGGGUCUGCAUUCGAUACGGGCUGGCUAGAGUGUGGUAGGGGAGAUCGGAAUUCCUGGUGUAGCGGUGAAAUGCGCAGAUAUCAGGAGGAACACCGGUGGCGAAGGCGGAUCUCUGGGCCAUUACUGACGCUGAGGAGCGAAAGCGUGGGGAGCGAACAGG
rnacentral:rRNA from 1 species